AUUGAACGCUGGCGGCAUGCUUUACACAUGCAAGUCGAACGGCAGCGCGGGCUUCGGCCUGGCGGCGAGUGGCGAACGGGUGAGUAAUGCAUCGGAACGUGCCCAGUAGUGGGGGAUAGCCCGGCGAAAGCCGGAUUAAUACCGCAUACGACCUGAGGGUGAAAGCGGGGGACCGAAAGGCCUCGCGCUAUUGGAGCGGCCGAUGUCGGAUUAGCUAGUUGGUGGGGUAAAGGCUUCCCAAGGCGACGAUCCGUAGCUGGUCUGAGAGGACGACCAGCCACACGGGGACUGAGGCCCGGCCCAGCCCCCCAGGGGGGGCAGCAGGGGGGAAUUUUGGAAAAGGGGGGCAACCCGGACCCAGCCAUGCCGCGGGGGGGAAGAAGGCCUUGGGGUGGGAAACCGCUUUUGUUCGGGAAGAAAUCCUCUGGGCUAAUACCCCGGGGGGAUGGCGGUACCGGAAGAAUAAGCACCGGCUAACUACGU
rnacentral:rRNA from 1 species